AGUCUCCAGAAGCCAUCAGCUUCCAGUCCCCAGUACAGUUAGAGAGAGUUAAAAGGCAGAAGAUGAUCGGUCUUUUGGCCUUCGUUCAAUGCUGUGGUCCGCUUCAGCUCUGGUCCCUUAAGUCCGGGCAGGUUUCCGGGCCUGAUCAGUUUCCUUCUUCAUUAUGACAAAAUGAAUCACGGUCUGCUGACAGCUAAAUUUUGAGAAAGAACAGG
rnacentral:lncRNA from 1 species